AGUAGGGAAUCUUGCGCAAUGGGCGAAAGCCUGACGCAGCGACACCGCGUGGAGGAUGAAGGUUUUCGAAUCGUAAACUCCUGUCAAUAGAGGAAGAAGGUAUUAUAGGUGAAUAGCUUAUAAUAUUGACGGUACUUUGUAAGGAAGCCCCGGCUAACUACGUGCCAGCAGCCGCGGUAAUACGUAGGGGGCAAGCGUUUUCCGGAUUUAUUGGGCGUAAAGCGCACGCAGGUGGCUUUUUAAGUCGGAUGUGAAAUCUCUUAGCAAAACUAAGAAAUUGCAUCCGAAACUGGAUUGCUUGAGGUCGGGAGAGGAGAGUGGAAUUCUCGGUGUAGCGGUGAAAUGCGCAGAUAUCGAGAAGAACACCAUUAGCGAAGGCGGCUCUCUGGAACGAUACUGACACUAAGGUGCGAAAGCUAGGGUAGCAAACAGGAUUAGAUACCCUGGUAGUCCUAGCUGUAAACGAUGGGCACUAGAUGUAGGGAGAUAUCGACUCUUCCUGUGUCGUAGCUAACGCGUUAAGUGCCCCGCCUGGGGAGUACGACCGCAAGGUUAAAACUCAAAGGAAUUGACGGGGACCCGCACAAGCGGUGGAGCAUGUGGCUCAAUUCGAUGCAACACGAAGAACCUUACCAGGGCUUGACAUUCUGGUGGUAGUGAUCUGAAAGGUGAACGACCCUUCGGGGAGCCAGAACAGGUGGUGCAUGGCUGUCGUCAGCUCGUGUCGUAAGAUGUUGGGUUAAGUCCCGUAACGAGCGCAACCCUUAUCCCAUGUUGCUAACAUUAAGUUGAGGACUCUUGGGAGACUGCCGGUGUUAAACCGGAGGAAGGUGAGGAUGACGUCAAGUCAGUAUGCCCUUUAUGUCCUGGGCUGCACACGUGCUACAAUGGUUUAUACAAUGAGAUGCGAGACUGUGAAGUGGAGCAAAUCUCAAAAAGUAAGCCUAAGUUCGGAUUGAAGUCUGAAAUUCGACUUCAUGAAGCCGGAAUCGCUAGUAAUCGCGGAUCAGCUAUACCGCGGUGAAUACGUUCCCGGGUCUUGUACACACCGCCCGUCACACCACGAAAGUUGGGAACACCAGAAGCCAGUGUGCUAACCCGUAAGGGAGGCAGCUGUCAAAGGUGGGCUUGAUGAUUGGGGUG
rnacentral:rRNA from 1 species